rnacentral:rRNA from 1 species
UACGAAGGGGGCUAGCGUUGCUCGGAAUUACUGGGCGUAAAGCGCACGUAGGCGGCUUUCUAAGUCGGGGGUGAAAUCCUGGAGCUCAACUCCAGAAUUGCCUUCGAUACUGGAAAGCUCGAGUCCGGGAGAGGUGAGUGGAACUGCGGAGUGUAGAGGUGAAAUUCGUAGAUAUUCGCAAGAACACCAGUGGCGAAGGCGGCAUCACUGGCCCGGGUAGCUGACGCCUGAGGUGCGAAAGCGUGGGGAGCAAACAGG